AUUGAACGCUGGCGGCAUGCCUUACACAUGCAAGUCGAACGGCAGCACGGAGCUUGCUCUGGUGGCGAGUGGCGAACGGGUGAGUAAUAUAUCGGAACGUACCCAAGAGUGGGGGAUAACGUAGCGAACGGUACGCUAAUACCGCAUACGAUCUAAGGAUGAAAGCAGGGGAUCGCAAGACCUUGUGCUCCUGGAGCGGCCGAUAUCUGAUUAGCUAGUUGGUGAGGUAAAUGCUCACCAAGGCAUCGGUCAGUAGCUGGGCUGAGAGGACGACCAGCCACACUGGAACUGAGACACGGUCCAGACUCCUACGGUCGGCAGCAGUGGGGAAUUUUGGACAAGGGGGGCAACCCUGAUCCGCCAAUGCCGCGUGAGUGAAGAAGGCCUUCGGGUUGUAAAGCUCUUUUGUCAGGGAAGGAACGGUGAAGGCUAAUAUCCUUUGCUAAUGACGGUACCUGAAGAAUAAGCACCGGCUAACUACGUGCCAGCCGCCGCAGUAACAC
rnacentral:rRNA from 1 species